rnacentral:rRNA from 1 species
AUUGAACGCUGGCGGCAGGCCUAACACAUGCAAGUCGAACGAGUGGCGGACGGGUGAGUAAUGUCUGGGAAACUGUCCGUUGGAGGGGGAUAACAACUGGAAACGGUAGCUAAUACCGCACCCCCUCGGAUGUGCGCAGAUGGGAUUAGCUAGUAGGUGGGGUAAAGGCUCACCUAGGCGACGAUCCCUCGCGGGUCUGAGAGGAUGACCAGCCACACGGGAACUGAGACACGGUCCAGACUCCUACGGGAGGCAGCAGUGGGGAAUAUUGCACAAUGGGCGCAAGCCUGAUGCAGCCAUGCCGCGUGUAUGAAGAAGGCCUUCGGGUUGUAAAGUACUUUCAGCGAGGAGGCGUUACUCGCAGAAGAAGCACCGGCUAACUCCGUGCCAGCAGCCGCGGUAAUUC